CAAGAGCGUAUAUUAAAGUUGUUGCAGUUAAAAAGCUCGUAGUUGGAUUUCUGGUACAAUGCGCCUGGCCCGCGGCAGUAAUGCCUGUGAGUGCCGGUGCGCGUUUGCCAUCCUUCUAGAAAACGUUUCUACCCUUUACUGGGCCGGACUCGCGAUCUAGAUAUUUUACCUUGAGAAAAUUAGAGUGUUUCAGGCAGGCUAGGCCGGAAUACAUUAGCAUGGAAUAAUGGAAUAGGACUACGGUCUCUUUGUUGGUUUUGAGGGACUGCAGUAAUGAUUAAUAGGGAUAGUUGGGGGCAUUAGUAUUUAAUUGUCAGAGGUGGAAUUCUCGGAUUUGUUAAAGACUAACUUAUGCGAAAGCAUUUGCCAAGGAUGUUUUCAUUAAUCAAGAACGAAAGUUAGGGGAGUCAAAGACGAUUAGAUACCGU
rnacentral:rRNA from 1 species